rnacentral:rRNA from 1 species
UACGGAGGGUGCGAGCGUUGUUCGGAAUCACUGGGCGUAAAGCGCGUGUAGGCGGCCUUGUAAGUUUGGUGUGAAAGCCCGGGGCUUACCCCCGGAAGUGCACUGGAUACUGCAAGGCUAGAGUACCGGAGAGGAAAGUGGAAUUCCUGGUGUAGCGGUGAAAUGCGUAGAUAUCAGGAGGAACACCGGUGGCGAAGGCGGGUCUCUGGGCCGUAACUGACGCUGAGGAGCGAAAGCGUGGGGAGCGAACAGG